rnacentral:rRNA from 1 species
AUUAAGUAUACCACCGAAGCUAAGGCAGUAUUUAUACUGGGUAGGGGAGCAUUCUAUUCUGCGAAGAAGGUACCUGGUGAUGGGUAUUGGAGCGGAUAGAAAAGCAAAUGUAGGCAUAAGUAACGAUAAGGCGGGUGAGAAACCCGCCCACCGAUAGACUAAGGUUUCCUGAUCAACGCUAAUCGGAUCAGGGUUAGUCGGGACCUAAGGCGAACCCGAAAGGGGUAGUCGAUGGCCAACGGGUUAAUAUUCCCGUACUACCGCAUAGAGCGAUGGGGUGACGGAGUAGUGAAA